UACGGAGGGUGCAAGCGUUAUCCGGAUUUAUUGGGUUUAAAGGGUCCGUAGGCGGACCUGUAAGUCAGUGGUGAAAUCUCAUAGCUUAACUAUGAAACUGCCAUUGAUACUGCAGGUCUUGAGUAAAUUAGAGGUAGCUGGAAUAAGUAGUGUAGCGGUGAAAUGCAUAGAUAUUACUUAGAACACCAAUUGCGAAGGCAGGUUACCAUGAUUCAACUGACGCUGAGGCGCGAAAGCAUGGGGAGCGAACGGG
rnacentral:rRNA from 1 species